rnacentral:rRNA from 1 species
UGAGUACGAGAUGCUACGGCAUCGAAGCAGUCUAUGUCAUACUUCCAAGAAAAGCUUGCACUGUCAUAAACAAAGAAUGCCUGUACCAUAACCGACACAGGUGGGUAGGUAGAGUAUACUAAGGGGCGCGAGAUAACUCUCUCUAAGGAACUCGGCAAAAUGACUCCGUAACUUCGGGAGAAGGAGUGCCUUAUUUCUAAGGUUGCAAUAACAAGAUCCAAGCAACUGUUUACCAAAAACACAGGUCUCCGCUAAGUCGUAAGACGAUGUAUGGGGGCUGACGCCUGCCCAGUGCCAGAAGGUUAAAGAAGUUGGUUAGCAUUAGCGAAGCUGAUAACUGAAGCCCUGGUGAACGGCGGCCGUAACUAUAACGGUCCUAAGGUAGCGAAAUUCCUUAUCGGGUAAGUUCCGACCCGCACGAAAGGCGUAAUGAUUUGGAUACUGUCUCGGAGAGGGGCUCGGUGAAAUAGACUUGUCUGUGAAGAUGCGGACUACCUGCACCUGGACAGAAAGACCCUAUGAAGCUUUACUGUAACUUGAGAUUGAAAUUGGACUUUAUUUGCGCAGUAUAGGUGGGAGGCGUUGAGAAUAAUCUUGCGGGAUUGUUGGAGCCAUCAGUGAGAUACCACUCUUGUAAUGUUAGAUUUCUAACUUUGUAUCAUUAUCUGGUCAAAGAACAGUUUCAGGCGGCCAGUUUGACUGGGGCGGUCGCCUCCCAAAGGGUAACGGAGGCGCACAAAGGUUUCCUCUGAACGGGUAGAAAUCGUAUCUAGAGUGUAAAGGCAUAAGGAAGCUUGACUGUGAGACCUACAAGUCGAGCAGGGACGAAAGUCGGUCUUAGUGAUCUGACGGUGCUGAGUGGAAAGGCCGUCACUCAACGGAUAAAAGUUACUCUAAGGAUAACAGGCUGAUCUCCCCCAAGAGUUCACAUCGACGGGGAGGUUUGGCACCUCGAUGUCGGCUCAUCGCAUCCUGGGGCGGUAGUCCGUCCCAAGGGUUGGGCUGUUCGCCCAUGAAAGCGGUACGCGAGCUGGGUUCAGAACGUCGUGAGACAGUUCGGUCCAUAUCCGGUGUAGGCGUUAGAAUAUUGAGAGGAGCCUUCUCUAGUACGAGAGGACCGAGAAGGACAUACCUCUGGUGUACCAGUUAUCGUGCCAACGGUAAACGCUGGGUAGCUAUGUAUGGAGUGGAUAACCGCUGAAAGCAUCUAAGUGGGAAGCCCACCUCAAGAUAAGUAUUC